GACGAACGCUGGCGGCGUGCGUAACACAUGCAAGUCGAACGGUGAGGCUCCACUUUGCUGGGGUGGAUGAGUGGCGAACGGGUGAGUAACACGUGAGCAACCUGCCCCAGACUCUGGAAUAAGCGCUGGAAACGGCGGCUAAUACUGGAUACGAAACUGGGCCGCAUGGGGAUGGUUGGAAAAGUUCUUCGGUUGGGGAUGGGCUCGCGGCCUAUCAGCUUGUUGGUGGGGUAGUGGCUCACCAAGGCGUCGACGGGUAGCCGGCCUGAGAGGGCGACCGGCCACACUGGGACUGAGAUACGGCCCAGACUCCUACGGGAGGCAGCAGUGGGGAAUAUUGCACAAUGGGCGAAAGCCUGAUGCAGCGACGCCGCGUGCGGGAUGACGGCCUUCGGGUUGUAAACCGCUUUCAGCUGGGACGAAGCGAGAGUGACGGUACCUGCAGAAGAAGCACCGGCUAACUACGUG
rnacentral:rRNA from 1 species